UUCUGGAAGUAAAAAGUCGUAACAAGGUUUCCGUAGGUGAACCUGCGGAAGGAUCAUUAAUGAAUGAACUUGGGCAAAGUUGUCGCUGGCCUCAGCAAUGGGGCAUGUGCACGCUUUGUUCAUCCACCCUUCACACCACUGUGCACUUCUCAUGGGUCGGGUUGCGUCUGAAAUAUGGCAAAGCCCUUCUCAUGUGUUUUAACCACACACUAUACAAGUUUUAGAAUGUAACAAUCAUGCAUCAAUGCAUAUAAUACAACUUUCAGCAACGGAUCUCUUGGCUCUCGCAUCGAUGAAGAACGCAGCGAAAUGCGAUAAGUAAUGUGAAUUGCAGAAUUCAGUGAAUCAUCGAAUCUUUGAACGCACCUUGCGCUCCUUGGUAUUCCGAGGAGCAUGCCUGUUUGAGUGUCAUGGUAUUCUCAACCCUGCUACAUUUUUUUGUAGUUGGGCUUGGACUUGGAGGUUUAUUGCUGGUGUUCUCUUUUGAACGCGGGCUCCUCUGAAAUGCAUUAGCUGGAAUGUUACCGAGCAUGAUUCAAUGUGAUAAUUGUCUACGUUGCUUCAACUUGGUAUUAAUUCUGUUUCAGCUUCAAACCGUCCUUGCAGACAAUAUCUUGAACAUCUGACCUCAAAUCAGGUAGGACUACCCGCUGAACUUAAGCAUAUCAAUAAGCGGAGGA
rnacentral:rRNA from 1 species